rnacentral:rRNA from 1 species
CUGACUGUGGGCUGGAUUCGCCCUUAGAGUUUGAUCCUGGCUCAGAUUGAACGCUGGCGGCAGGCUUAACACAUGCAAGUCGAGCGGGGAAAGGUAGCUUGCUACCUGACCUAGCGGCGGACGGGUGAGUAAUGCUUAGGAAUCUGCCUAUUAGUGGGGGACAACAUUCCGAAAGGAAUGCUAAUACCGCAUACGCCCUACGGGGGAAAGCAGGGGAUCUUCGGACCUUGCGCUAAUAGAUGAGCCUAAGUCAGAUUAGCUAGUUGGUGGGGUAAAGGCCUACCAAGGCGACGAUCUGUAGCGGGUCCGAGAGGAUGAUCCGCCACACUGGGACUGAGACACGGCCCAGACUCCUACGGGAGGCAGCAGUGGGGAAUAUUGGACAAUGGGCGAAAGCCUGAUCCAGCCAUGCCGCGUGUGUGAAGAAGGCCUUUUGGUUGUAAAGCACUUUAAGCGAGGAGGAGGCUACCGAGAUUAAUACUCUUGGAUAGUGGACGUUACUCGCAGAAUAAGCACCGGCUAAYUCUGUGCCAGCAGCCGCGGUAAUACAGAGGGUGCGAGCGUUAAUCGGAUUUMCUGGGCGUAAAGCGUGCGUAGGCGGCUUUUUAAGUCGGAUGUGAAAUCCCUGAGCUUAACUUAGGAAUUGCAUUCGAUACUGGGAAGCUAGAGUAUGGGAGAGGAUGGUAGAAUUCCAGGUGUAGCGGUGAAAUGUGUAGAGAUCUGGAGGAAUACCGAUGGCGAAGGCAGCCAUCUGGCCUAAUACUGACGAUGAGGUACGAAAGCAUGGGGAGCAAACAGGAUUAGAUACCCUGGUAGUCCAUGCCGUAAACGAUGUAUACUAGCCGUCGGGGCCUUUGAGGCUUUAGCGGCGCAGCUAACGCGAUAA